AUGCCGGGAUGGGCUCCGUCAAGAAGGUUCGACCAAGAGGAGUGCAUCGAGGUGGCGUGGAACCGGGUGCGCCUGCGCGCGCUGGACCCCGCCAUGGUCGACCGCCGCCAUGCCGAGGUGCGCCUUCUCCGCUCCCUCCAUCGUGACCACAUCAUAGGCUUCCACGAGGUCUGGCUCGACCAUGACGCUGGCGUGCUGAACUUCAUCACCGAGGUUUGCAACUCGGCGAGCCUUCGCAAGUAUUUCGACCGCCACAAGCACGUCUCCGUCAAAGCGCUCAAGAAGUGGGCGCUCCUUGAGGGCCUUGACCACCUUCACACCCGCGACCCCUGCAUCAUCCACCGCGACCGUACUUGCAGCAACGUCUUCAGCAACAGCAACACCGACCAUCCUCAACGGCGACGAGGACAACAGUAG
rnacentral:rRNA from 1 species